rnacentral:misc_RNA from 1 species
UUCCAGACAAAGAAGUGUGCUCGCAGAUAUAAAUCUGCCCUUACUCCAUGUGGCAUACUGUCACUGGCUACUCGAAGGAAGAAUUGGGUAGCCCUGGAUAUAAGUGGUUUUAGGAGGAUAAAUACUUUCAUUGUUAUUCUGGUAUAGGUUUUAUAAGAAUAAAGAUUCCGAGUCUAUGGAUAACAGUUCUUGUUGGCUAGGAUUAUAAGAUCAAUUUUUAUCUUUCUUUUGAAUACAAGAAGCAGUCGAUUCG